CUACGGGCUGCUCCAGUGAGGAAUUUUGCGCAAUGGGGGAAACCCUGACGCAGCAACGCCGCGUGAGUGAUGAAGGCCUUCGGGUCGUAAAGCUCUGUCAAGUGGGAAGAAGGUGCCCAUGGCUAAUAUCUGUGGGCAUUGACGGUACCACUGAAGGAAGCACCGGCUAGACUCCGUGCCAGCAGCCGCGGUAAUACGGAGGGUGCAAGCGUUAUUCGGAUUUACUGGGCGUAAAGCGCGCGCAGGCGGUUUUGUAAGUCGGAUGUGAAAGCCCUGGGCUUAACCCAGGAAGUGCAUUCGAUACUGCAUUACUUGAGUAUGGGAGAGGGAAGCGGAAUUCCUGGUGUAGAGGUGAAAUUCGUAGAUAUCAGGAGGAACAUCGGUGGCGAAGGCGGCUUCCUGGACCAAUACUGACGCUGAGGCGCGAAGGCGUGGGGAGCAAACAGGAUUAGAUACCCGAGUAGUC
rnacentral:rRNA from 1 species